UGAGUCCGACUCUCUACGGAGAGGAAGUGACUGAUGUCAAGCUUCCCAGAAAAGCCCGAACCACGUUAAUUUCUAAUUACCUGUACCCGAAACCGACACAGGUAGGGAGGUAGAGAAUACUAAGGGGCGCGAGAUAACUCUCUCUAAGGAACUCGGCAAAAUUACCCCGUAACUUCGGGAGAAGGGGUGCCACCGAGAGGUGGUCGCAGUGAAUAGGCCCAGGCGACUGUUUACCAAAAACACAGGUCUCCGCCAAGUCGCAAGACGCAGUAUGGGGGCUGACGCCUGCCCAGUGCCGGAAGGUUAAGGAAGUUGGUUAGGGUAACCGAAGCUAGCGACUGAAGCCCCGGUGAACGGCGGCCGUAACUAUAACGGUCCUAAGGUAGCGAAAUUCCUUGUCGGGUAAGUUCCGACCCGCACGAAAGGCGUAACGAUCUGGGCACUGUCUCGGAGAGAGGCUCGGCGAAAUAGGAUUGUCUGUGAAGAUACGGACUACCUACACUUGGACAGAAAGACCCUAUGAAGCUUUACUGUAGCCUGGAAUUGGCUUCGGGCUUCUCUUGCGCAGGAUAGGUGGGAGGCUUUGAAAUCUGGCUUGUGGGUCAGAUGGAGCCAACGGUGAGAUACCACUCUAGAGAGGCUAGAAUUCUAACUUUAACCCGUUAACCGGGGAAAGAACAGUUUCAGGUGGGCAGUUUGACUGGGGCGGUCGCCUCCUAAAAGAUAACGGAGGCGCGCAAAGGUUCCCUCAGGCUGGUUGGAAAUCAGCCGCAGAGUGCAAAGGCAUAAGGGAGCUUGACUGCGAGACCUACAAGUCGAGCAGGGUGGAAACACGGCCUUAGUGAUCCGACGGCACCGCGUGGAAGGGCCGUCGCUCAACGGAUAAAAGUUACUCUAGGAUAACAGGCUGAUCUCCCCCAAGAGUUCACAUCGACGGGGAGGUUUGGCACCUCGAUGUCGGCUCAUCGCAACCUGGGGCGGAAGUACGUCCCAAGGGUUGGGCUGUUCGCCCAUUAAAGCGGUACGUGAGCUGGGUUCAGAACGUCGUGAGACAGUUCGGUCCAUAUCCGGUGUAGGCGUAAGAGCAUUGAGAGGAGCCUUCCUUAGUACGAGAGGACCGGGAAGGACGCACCGCUGGUGUACCUGUUAUCGUGCCAACGGUAAACGCAGGGUAGCCAAGUGCGGAGCGGAUAACCGCUGAAAGCAUCUAAGUGGGAAGCCCACCUCAAGAUGAGUGCUCUCACAGGGUUAACCUGGUAAGGUCACGGGAAGACUACCCGUUUAUAGGUGCUAGGUGGACGUUCAGUAAUGGAUGAAGCCGAGGCAUACUAACAGACC
rnacentral:rRNA from 1 species